UACGGGGGGGGCAAGCGUUGUUCGGAUUUACUGGGCGUAAAGGGCGCGUAGGCGGCAUGACAAGUCACUUGUGAAAUCUCUGGGCUUAACCCAGAACGGCCAAGUGAUACUGUCACGCUAGAGUGCAGAAGGGGCAAUCGGAAUUCUUGGUGUAGCGGUGAAAUGCGUAGAUAUCAAGAGGAACACCUGAGGUGAAGACGGGUUGCUGGGCUGACACUGACGCUGAAGCGCGAAAGCCAGGGGAGCAAACAGG
rnacentral:rRNA from 1 species